rnacentral:rRNA from 1 species
GAUGACCUCUGGCGGCGUGCUUAACACAUGCAAGUCGAACGAAGCAUUUAGAACAGAUUACUUCGGUUUGAAGUUCUUUAUGACUGAGUGGCGGACGGGUGAGUAACGCGUGGGUAACCUGCCUUGUACUGGGGGAUAGCAGCUGGAAACGGCUGGUAAUACCGCAUAAGCGCACAAUGUUGCAUGACAUGGUGUGAAAAACUCCGGUGGUAUAAGAUGGACCCGCGUCUGAUUAGCUAGUUGGUGAGAUAACAGCCCACCAAGGCGACGAUCAGUAGCCGACCUGAGAGGGUGACCGGCCACAUUGGGACUGAGACACGGCCCAGACUCCUACGGGAGGCAGCAGUGGGGAAUAUUGCACAAUGGAGGAAACUCUGAUGCAGCGACGCCGCGUGAGUGAAGAAGUAAUUCGUUAUGUAAAGCUCUAUCAGCAGGGAAGAUAGUGACGGUACCUGACUAAGAAGCUCCGGCUAAAUACGUGCCAGCAGCCGCGGUAAUACGUAUGGAGCAAGCGUUAUCCGGAUUUACUGGGUGUAAAGGGAGUGUAGGUGGCCAUGCAAGUCAGAAGUGAAAAUCCGGGGCUCAACCCCGGAACUGCUUUUGAAACUGUAAGGCUGGAGUGCAGGAGGGGUGAGUGGAAUUCCUAGUGUAGCGGUGAAAUGCGUAGAUAUUAGGAGGAACACCAGUGGCGAAGGCGGCUCACAGGACUGUAACUGACACUGAGGCUCGAAAGCGUGGGGAGCAAACAGGAUUAGAUACCCUGGUAGUCCACGCCGUAAACGAUG